CUUUGAUGAUGCAAACAUGGACUUACAGUGAUUGUGGUGUACAAAGAGAAGGUUGGAGCAGUGCUGAUAUACUAAGUCUGCCUGUCCACCUUUGACACUCUGGCUAUGCUACAUCACAGUGCAAGAAUACCAAACCAAUUAGAGCAACAAAACCAAUUGGAGCUUACCGAAGCAGACGCUUGAGCCCAAUGCAUCCUGGUACAUGUAGGCACAGCUGCCAUGGCUCUGGAAGCACGAGAACUCACUUUCUCAGUCAAUGUAGCACUCUUCAAUGGACUACAUAUACCAUUAGUACUGACCUUCACAGUAAAUUUGCCAGGUUUUCCUUUAGUUUUUUUUGGGGUUUUUUUUGCUUGUAGUUGGUCUCUUUUGUAUUUUAAAGGUGUUCUUUCAACUUUGGAGGUGGAUAAGAAAGCCUUGAAGAGUAAAUUAUUCGUACUGCCAGAGGCUCUACAGUUCUUUAAAAGAUGACAACAAAAAGUCUACCUUAGCUUUGUGUUUAUAAUGUCCAUGAUCUCAUAAUACAGUUUCAAUGUGCUCUGUUGUAUGCUGUGAUUUUUACAGUGGC